UGGGGUGUGGCUCAGCGGUUAGAGCACUCGCCUAGCAUGUGCGAGGCCCUGGGUUCAAUCCUCAGCACCACAU
rfam:Ictidomys tridecemlineatus contig101838, whole genome shotgun sequence.